UACAGAGGGGGGCAAGCGUUGUUCGGAUUUACUGGGCGUAAAGGGCGCGUAGGCGGCGUGACAAGUCACUUGUGAAAUCUCCGGGCUUAACCCGGAGCGGCCAAGUGAUACUGUCGUGCUAGAGUGCGGAAGGGGCUACUGGAAUUCUCGGUGUAGCGGUGAAAUGCGUAGAUAUCGAGAGGAACACCUGCGGCGAAGGCGGGUAGCUGGGCCGACACGUGACGCUGAGGCGCGAAAGCCAGGGGAGCGAACGGG
rnacentral:rRNA from 1 species